UACGAAGGGGGCUAGCGUUGCUCGGAAUUACUGGGCGUAAAGGGCGCGUAGGCGGCUCUGUGAGUCAGGCGUGAAAUUCCUGGGCUUAACCUGGGGACUGCGCUUGAUACUGCGGGGCUUGAGGCCGAGAGAGGGUGGUGGAAUUCCCAGUGUAGAGGUGAAAUUCGUAGAUAUUGGGAAGAACACCGGUGGCGAAGGCGACCACCUGGCUCGGUACUGACGCUGAGGCGCGACAGCGUGGGGAGCAAACAGG
rnacentral:rRNA from 1 species